GUGAAUCAUCAAAUUUUUGAACGCAAAUUGCGCCUUUUUCGGAAGGCAUGUCUGUUUGAGGGCACCAUUUAACAAAUAAUGUGCAGCGUUGUGUGUAUAUAUGACGUGCACACGUUGAUGAGCUUUCCAAGAUUUUUAAUUUUUGGGUGGCGAAUAAUGAACAGCGGAAAAGUUUUUUUAAUUUCGAGUGUAU
rnacentral:misc_RNA from 1 species